rnacentral:rRNA from 1 species
GAUUAACGCUGGCGGCGUGCAUAACACAUGCAAGUCGAACGAAGUGGCGUACGGGUGAGUAAAGCGUGAGUAACCUGCCUUAGAGAAGGGGAUAGCCUUUGGAAACGCAGAUUAAUACCCUAUACUCUAUGAUGGACUUGCGUGUGAUUAGUUAGUUGGUGAGGUACCGGCCCACCAAGACAGCGAUCAGUAGCCGGCAUGGGGGAGUGUACGGCCACAUUGGGACUGAGACACGGCCCAGACUCUACGGGAGGCAGCAGUGGGGAAUUUUGCACAAGGGGGGAAACCAUGAUGCAGCGACGCCGCGUGAUUUAGAAGGCCUUCGGGUUGUAAAAAACUUUUCUAUGUGAAGCAUUACCAUAAGAAUAAGGACCGGCUAAUUACGUGCCAGCAGCCGCGGUAAUAC